UGGGGAAUUUUGGACAAUGGGCGCAAGCCUGAUCCAGCCAUGCCGCGUGCGGGAAGAAGGCCUUCGGGUUGUAAACCGCUUUUGUCAGGGAAGAAAUCUUCUGAGUUAAUACCUCGGGAGGAUGACGGUACCUGAAGAAUAAGCACCGGCUAACUACGUGCCAGCAGCCGCGGUGAAUACGUAGGGUGGCAAGCGUUAAUCGGAAUUACUGGGCGUAAAGCGUGCGCAGGCGGUUUUGUAAGACAGAGGUGAAAUCCCCGGGCUCAACCUGGGAACUGCCUUUGUGACUGCAAGGCUUGAGUGCGGCAGAGGGGGAUGGAAUUCCGCGUGUAGCAGUGAAAUGCGUAGAUAUGCGGAGGAACACCGAUGGCGAAGGCAAUCCCCUGGGCCUGCACUGACGCUCAUGCACGAAAGCGUGGGGAGCAAACAGGAUUAGAUCCCUGGUAGUCCACGCCCUAAACGAUGUCAACUGGUUGUUGGGAAGGUUCCUUCUCAGUAACGUAGCUAACGCGUGAAGUUGACCGCCUGGGGAGUACGGCCGCAAGGUUGAAACUCAAAUGAAUUGACGGGGU
rnacentral:rRNA from 1 species